rnacentral:rRNA from 1 species
GUGAGGAAUUUUCCGCAAUGGGCGAAAGCCUGACGGAGCAAUGCCGCGUGAAGGAUGAAGGCCUAUGGGUUGUAAACUUCUUUUCUCAGAAAAGAAUUAUGACGGUAUCUGAGGAAUAAGCAUCGGCUAACUCUGUGCCAGCAGCCGCGGUAAGACAGAGGAUGCAAGCGUUAUCCGGAAUGAUUGGGCGUAAAGCGUCUGUAGGUUGUUUAAAAAGUAUUCUGUCAAAGAUUAGGGCUUAACCCUAGAUAGGCAGAAUAAACUUUUAAGCUAGAGUUUGGUAGAGGCAGAGGGAAUUCCCGGUGGAGCGGUGAAAUGCGUAGAUAUCGGGAGGAACACCAAAGGCGAAGGCACUCUGCUGGGCCAAUACUAACACUGAGGUGCGAAAGCAUGGGGAGCAAACAGGAUUAGAUACCCGUGUAGUCC